GGCCAUAGCUCAGGGGUAAGAGCUUCUGUCCUGCAUGCAGAAGGUUCCAGGUUCAAUCCCAGGUGGGGCUG